rnacentral:tRNA from 1 species
GCGGAUAUAGUGUAGUGGUAGCACGCGUCCUUCGGGCUUUAACAAUCCCGAUCGCAUCGCGAUUUUAUACCUCUGGACGAAGUCCUGGGUUCAAUCCCCAGUAUCCGCC